CCCGACCCGACCCGAACCGACCCGGAAGGGUUUGGGUGGAUCUGAGAAUAAUCUGGUCGGGUUUCGGGUCUUAUUUUCGGGUUAUUUUCGGGUUCGGGUCGGUCGUCGAGUCAGAUAAAAAUACUAGUCUGAACCCGAUUUUUUCUUUUGAAUCAAACCCUACUCUGUUGUCUGUUGUGGUUCUCUCUCCGCCUCCCUCAGCUCUCCGCCUCCCUCAGGGCCUCAGUUAUCUCUGUAUGGAAAAUAUUGGAGCAACUUUCACUUGGAGUUUGGAAAUGGAAGCUCUUUUGUAAUUACUUUAGCUUGUAAUUCUGAUGUUCAAUGAUCUGGAGAUAUCUUAGCAAGUUUUUCAUUCUUUAAUUUAGGUGAUGCGAUUUCCACAUUAAUUGUUUGGUCAAAAGUUGAGUUAAUGAAGUUGUACAUAGAGUUUUUCAAUGCUUUAUCUGGGAUUUGUUGGGUAUUGGAUCUUAUAAACAGUGAAAACAAGGCUGACUAGUUCUUUCUUUGGUGGGAGUGCUAUUGUUGGUUCUGUUGAAAGUUGCAUAUGAGAGAAUAUUGGGAACUAUUGAGGAUUUGAGAACUGUUAAA